rnacentral:tRNA from 1 species
GCCUGGCUGGCUCAGUCCAUAGAGCAUGAGACUUUUGAUCUCAGGUCAUGAGUUCAAGUGCCAUCUUGGGCA